UGUCACUAAACUGCAGUUUAAAUUGCAGUGCAGAAACUGUGUUAUCAGCUCCUCAGAUUAGAACUGAUAGCACAGCAGCUCGCUGCAUUUCAGAGAAAUAGAUGUUUAUUUUAGAAUUUGCUCAGAGCUGAUGACUGCAAUUCUCUGCAUAAUCAAUCCUUGUUUCACAAAUCUGUUUUUUUGCAAUAACAGGAACACCUUGCCCAUGACUUGAGGUCAUGAGACUGACCUGGAAAUUCCUUGACUUUUAGUAUCACUUUGACCUCUUGGGUAAAGAGGCCACCUUCAUAAAAUCUUUAAGGGAAUAAUAAUUAACUGGGAUGUGUCCCUUUUGGCCUUGAUUGGAGGAAUUUCCAGUUCCAGGUUUAAAUGUGUUUUAUCUUUAAUUCUUCACUUACUGCUCCAAAAUUCUGUUAGUAGUAAUACUGAAUUUUACAGCACAUAUUUGUAAAAUCAUCCACACAUAAAGUGUGAUUUAUUUUCUGAUUUAGAUCCUUUUCUAUGUUUGAGUAAAAGGUAUCCAUCAAGUUGAUCAAAUAUAAUCAAUGGUCACAUACAGGAGCCAAAAUGUUUCUCAUCUACUUUUUAUGUUUUUUUUCAAGUGGUGAGAUCUCGUUGCUGUCCAAGCCCUACAUUUCUACCUCAUUUUCAAUUUCUAUUUUAGGGCUUCUCUCACAAACAAAUGUUGGUCCAUGACUCAACUAUUAGUAAUGUAUUUAUUCAACAAUCAGCUGCCGAUGUUUGUCAAAAAUCUGAUGAUAAGUUUGUGAUUUUCUUGUGUUUUACUUCAUCUCAUCACAGAUGGUGAUCAGUUUUGAACUUCUGCAAAACGCAGUGACUGUCAACUGAGUCACACAGUCUGAGUGCUGAGCUGAAAUAUGGGGUAUUCAGAGGAUUCACUUCUGAGUAUUUUUGUUUGCUACAUUCUCUGUAUUGCAACGUAGCACAAAACAUUCAUUAACACGCUGUGUCUGAUGAACCGGUCAUAGCAAGGCCUUGAAAACACUGAACACAAAUUUAACUGAGCUUAUCUUCACAACUGCUAAAGUUUGAUGAAUAUAUUAGUAAAGAAGUGAGUUAUGGUAUAGAAUAAAUAUUGUAAAAUGUUUGAAAGAAGAUAAAAUGUCCCUCAGAUAUAGAAAAAAAAGUCCAUCUAUGUUCAUCACAAAAAGCAACGUGAUUCUGGUAAAAAAAAAAAAAAAAAUUAAAAAUUAAAAACUGCAAAAGUAGCUAGUAGAAAACUAAACCGGAUCAUUUGUAUGAACGUUUUAUUUUAUAAAUAAAAAAAAAUAAAAAAAGGAAAAUAAAAUAAAAAUAAAAUAAAUAUAAAUAAAUAAAGAUACAAGUUAAAAAUACUUAUUAGAUUUUUUUAUACCACACUAAAAUGUAGUAUUUCACUGAUAUUUAAAAAAAAAUAAUUUUUAACCUUUAUUCAACCAAGUUAUUCCCAUUGAGAGUAAAAAGAGGCAGUGUUAAAUGUGUUAAAACAAUAUUAAUUUGGCAAGUUUUAAAGAGUAAAACAAGCUUUCUGCUUACUUUAUAUAUUAUUUAGUAAAUUCAUGGUUUCAUUAGAAAGACUGACAGGUUUUUCAACCAAUCAAAAUAAGGAGAGAUUCGGAUCCAACAGGAUCUUUGGCUGCGUCACAUCCCACCCAGACAUUUACUCACUUUAUUUUUUGCUGAGGUCAGCAAAGAGGAUGUUAACAGUAGUUGGAUGACACAGAGCCGUCAAUGGAGAUCCCGCUGGACUUUUUUUACCGUGUUUCUUACCGUGAAGAUUUUUUUGCUAGAAAACAUUAAGGUAGGACGGCGUGUCUCCCCAGAUGUAAGGAAUACUGGAAGUGCCGGUGUAAUUCCUCAGACACCAGCCGGCAGGCGCUCUACCACCCCCAGCUGGACAGAUGUGGAGCAGAAGACGAGGCUAAACUGAGGAAAUCAAACUGGCAGUGUGACUCCAGAGGAAUGAUUAAACACUCAAACUUGACUCUGUAUCUUCUGUCAAGCACUGGCUAUAAAAACACACUUUCAUCAAAUAAUAAAUACAACUGGAUGGACACUUUAGAAAUGUAAUCAAUGCACUAUGUGAGUUGUUAAAGCCACUAUUUUAUUUUUUUCCAAGUUUUCAUUAAAAAUAAAAAUACCCAAAUUGUUGGUACUGCUGUUAUAACAGUUCAUCAAGGUGUCAUCCAUAUAUCUGGAUCAGUGGCUCGGUAAUACAAUCUUUGCAUUUGAUUAAAAAGAGAAGCAGAAAUGGAAGCUGCAGCAGCCGUUUUCUGAGAAUUUAAGUGGCUUUUGUUCACCUUUCGGCUUAUCCAGUAAGCUUUCAUUGAUUCACAGAGGUGGCUUGGCAGAGAGUUUUACACCGGAUGCCCUUCCUGACAUAAACCUGCAUUUUGAAGCCACAGAGAGACCAAAGUUCCUGUGUGCCAGUCCCACAAACAGCCGACGGAGCCAUCCAGCUGCUACAAACGGAAGAGAUUCCAGGAGGCUCGUCUGUGCCUGUUUUUGGCUGUGGACCUCACCUCUGGCUUGUUCAACACCACCUGGACAAAGUUCAUUUGCUAUUCAAACAUGCAGUUGUAGAGUUAGAUAAGAUAAUUCUUUUUUUAUCAGUCCUGGUACAUCGCCUGUCUGUCCUGGGAGAGGAUCUCUCCUUCAUGUGGACAUCUCUGAAGUUUCUUCUUCUUUUUUCC